rfam:Dechloromonas denitrificans strain ATCC BAA-841 contig005, whole genome shotgun sequence.
GCCCAGGUGGCGAAAUUGGUAGACGCACCAGAUUUAGGUUCUGGCGCCGAAAGGUGUGGGGGUUCGAGUCCCUUCCUGGGCA